rnacentral:rRNA from 1 species
GACGAACGCUGGCGGCGUGCUUAACACAUGCAAGUCGAACGGUGAAGCGCCUUCCUUUUUGGUGGGUGUGGAUGAGUGGCGGACGGGUGAGUAACACGUGAGUAACCUGCCCCCUUCUUCUGGAUAACCGCAUGAAAGUGUGGCUAAUACGGGAUAUUCUGGGUCUGUCGCAUGAUGGGUCUGGGAAAGAUAUUGUUUCGGUGGGGGAUGGGCUCGCGGCCUAUCAGCUUGUUGGUGGGGUGAUGGCCUACCAAGGCGGUGACGGGUAGCCGGCCUGAGAGGGUGGACGGUCACACUGGGACUGAGACACGGCCCAGACUCCUACGGGAGGCAGCAGUGGGGAAUAUUGCACAAUGGGCGCAAGCCUGAUGCAGCGACGCCGCGUGAGGGAUGGAGGCCUUCGGGUUGUGAACCUCUUUCGCCAGUGAAGCAGGCCUGCCUCGUUUGUGGGUGGGUUGACGGUAGCUGGAGAAGAAGCGCCGGCUAACUACGUG